CCUACGGGUGGCAGCAGUGGGGAAUAUUGGACAAUGGGCGAAAGCCUGAUCCAGCCAUGCCGCGUGUGUGAAGAAGGCCUUCGGGUUGUAAAGCACUUUCAGUGGGGAAGAAAGCCUUGGGGCUAAUACCCUCGAGGAAGGACAUCACCCACAGAAGAAGCACCGGCUAACUCCGUGCCAGCAGCCGCGGUAAUACGGAGGGUGCGAGCGUUAAUCGGAAUUACUGGGCGUAAAGCGCGCGUAGGCGGUCUGAUAAGCCGGUUGUGAAAGCCCCGGGCUCAACCUGGGAACGGCAUCCGGACCUGUCAGGCUAGAGUGCAGGAGAGGAAGGUAGAAUUCCCGGUGUAGCGGUGAAAUGCGUAGAGAUCGGGAGGAAUACCAGUGGCGAAGGCGGCCUUCUGGACUGACACUGACGCUGAGGUGCGAAAGCGUGGGUAGCAAACAGGAUUAGAUACCCGUGUAGUC
rnacentral:rRNA from 1 species